AGAGUUUGAUCCUGGCUUAGGACGAACGCUGGCGGCGUGCCUAACACAUGCAAGUCGAGCGAUGAAAUCCUUCGGGAUGGAUUAGCGGCGGACGGGUGAGUAACACGUGGGUAACCUGCCUUGUAGAGGGGGAUAGCCUUCCGAAAGGAAGAUUAAUACCGCAUAACAUCUUUUUAUCGCAUGGUAGAAAGAUCAAAGGAGCAAUCCGCUACAAGAUGGACCCGCGGCGCAUUAGCUAGUUGGUGAGGUAACGGCUCACCAAGGCGACGAUGCGUAGCCGACCUGAGAGGGUGAUCGGCCACAUUGGAACUGAGACACGGUCCAGACUCCUACGGGAGGCAGCAGUGGGGAAUAUUGCGCAAUGGGGGGAAAAACCCCUGACGCAGCAACGCCGCGUGAAUGAAGAAGGCCUUAGGGUUGUAAAGUUCUGUUUACGGGGACGAUAAUGACGGUACCCGUGGAGGAAGCCACGGCUAACUACGUGCCAGCAGCGGC
rnacentral:rRNA from 1 species